AUGACAUGCGGAACAUCAGGCUCACCCCACGAGAAGCAGUGCAUGAUCAACGUCACCCUCAGCAAGGAAAUCUGCUGGAAGUGAUGUCUUACCCCCAGAGUACAGGAAGGGAUGACUGGGGCCUUCAGCAAGUAAGACACAGAGGGUACUAACAGGAGGAGCAAUAGGAGUCUGCCAGAGGUCGUCACCCUGAAUGGGGAUGGAGGCUUUAGUGGUCCACACAACAAAGAAGUAGGUGUCCCUUCCAGUGAUGUGGAGCUGCUCUUGGACCUCACGGAGGCUGUAAGACCCUCCCUCCUUGAUAUAUAAAUCCUUCGACAUCCCUGCACCAUAGGGACACUUGACCUCCACCACUGCUGUGGUGCCCACAGGAUCCCAGACCCCAAGACCCAAAACCCUGACUCCUGCACAUUCAUCCCUGUAGCCAUUUUGAACGCCUUGACGUUCUCCUCUUCGUUAUCUGGGCCCCACUUUACAGACAACACCCAUCCAACGACUGAACACCAUGAAAUGCAUUCGUUGUAAGAAAUGUGCUAUAUAAAUAAAGUUUGAUUUGAUUUAUGACAUUACAGCUGUAGAAUAUUUAAUUGCAGUUUUUCCAUAAACUUUUAAUUGUUAACUUGGGAUUUUAUCACCUGACGUAUCAAUUAUAUAGUGGAAACGAUCCUUUAAACCAAGACUGUGUGAAUGCAUGUACCACU